ACGAACGCUGGCGGCAUGCCUAACACAUGCAAGUCGCACGAGACCUUCGGGUCUAGUGGCGCACGGGUGCGUAACGCGUGGGAACCUGCCCUUAGGUUCGGAAUAACUCCCCGAAAGGGGUGCUAAUACCGGAUAAUGUCUUCGGACCAAAGAUUUAUCACCUUUGGAUGGGCCCGCGUUGGAUUAGCUAGUUGGUAGGGUAAAAGCCUACCAAGGCGACGAUCCAUAGCUGGUCUGAGAGGAUGAUCAGCCACACUGGGACUGAGACACGGCCCAGACUCCUACGGGAGGCAGCAGUGGGGAAUAUUGGACAAUGGGCGAAAGCCUGAUCCAGCAAUGCCGCGUGAGUGAUGAAGGCCUUAGGGUUGUAAAGCUCUUUUACCCGGGAUGAUAAUGACAGUACCGGGAGAAUAAGCUCCGGCUAACUCCGUG
rnacentral:rRNA from 1 species